rnacentral:rRNA from 1 species
CGGGGAAGGUGAGCCCUGCCCUAUGAAAUUUAAAUGGCCGCAGUACUCUGACUGUGCUAAGGUAGCGUAAUCAGUUGGCUUUUAAAUGGAGUCGAGUAUGAAUGGGUCCACGGGAAUAAGCUGUCUCUUUUUGGUUUUAUUGAAGUUCCUUUAAAGGGUGCAAAGUCCCUUGAUUAGAAAAAAGACGAGAAGACCCUUAGAGUUUAGACUUAAGAUGGAUAUCCAUUUUAGUUUUUGCUGGGGCGGCAAGGAGACAAGUAAACUCUCCUUAAUAGUUUUUAGAGGACGAAAGUAGUAAGAAUCAUUAAACUACCUUAGGGAUAACAGCAUAAUUAAUUUUUAGUUUGUGACCUCGAUGUUGGACUAGGAAGGCUUUUGACUAGCAGUCAACGAGUCAGCGUACUUUCGCCC